AUUGAACGCUGGCGGCAGGCCUAACACAUGCAAGUCGAACGGUAACAGGGAUCAGCUUGCUGAUUCGCUGACGAGUGGCGGACGGGUGAGUAAUGUCUGGGAAACUGCCUGAUGGAGGGGGAUAACUACUGGAAACGGUAGCUAAUACCGCAUAACGUCGCAAGACCAAAGAGGGGGACCUUCGGGCCUCUUGCCAUCGGAUGUGCCCAGAUGGGCUUAGCUGGUAGGUGGGGUAACGGCUCACCUAGGCGACGAUCCCUAGCUGGUCUGAGAGGAUGACCAGCCACACUGGAGCUGGAACACGGUCCAGACUCCUACGGGAGGCAGCAGUGGGGAAUAUUGCACAAUGGGCGCAAGCCUGAUGCAGCCAUGCCGCGUGUAUGAAGAAGGCGUUCGGGUUGUAAAGUACUUUCAGCGGGGAGGAAGGGAGUAAAGUUAAUACCUUUGCUCAUUGACGUUACCCGCAGAAGAAGCACCGGCUAACUCCGUG
rnacentral:rRNA from 1 species